rnacentral:rRNA from 1 species
GACGAACGCUGGCGGCGUGCUUAACACAUGCAAGUCGAACGGAAAGGCCCUGCUUUUGUGGGGUGCUCGAGUGGCGAACGGGUGAGUAACACGUGAGUAACCUGCCCUUGACUUUGGGAUAACUUCAGGAAACUGGGGCUAAUACCGGAUAGGAGCUCCUGCUGCAGGGUGGGGGUUGGAAAGUUUCGGCGGUUGGGGAUGGACUCGCGGCUUAUCAGCUUGUUGGUGGGGUAGUGGCUUACCAAGGCUUUGACGGGUAGCCGGCCUGAGAGGGUGACCGGCAACAUUGGGACUGAGAUACGGCCCAGACUCCUACGGGAGGCAGCAGUGGGGAAUAUUGCCCAAUGGGCGGAAGCCUGAUGCAGCAACGCCGCGUGCGGGAUGCCGGCCUUCGGGUUGUAAACCGCUUUCGCCUGUGACGAAGCGUGAGUGACGGUAAUGGGUAAAGAAGCACCGGCUAACUACGUG